ensembl:lncRNA
GCGUUUGAAGCUUACGGGAUCAGUUGGAUUGCUGGUUUGGACCUGUGGUGUGGGGCCUCCACCUUUGGCUUUAAUAAGCUGUGAGUAACAAAUUUGAAAUAAAACCUUAACUGGUGAGUAAAAGACGACCAUCCACCUACCUGUCACCAGUAAUAUCUGCAGUUUUUUACAAAAUAAUUAAGAUGACCAAUGUAACAAUAGGAGUAACACAAAAGACCAAACGCAAGACAGGAGACCACGGGCAAGAUCAUGACCCCCCCACCCCACCCCAGGAGCAGAUUCCAGAUGCUCCAAAAUAAACACAUAAAAUCCAGGAGGUUCAGGUCCAUGUGCCAAAGGAGGGCCUGGAGACUGAGGCAGAGCUGGCCGAGCAGGGUGCCAGGGUGGAGCAGAAGACCACCACAGAGCAGACGGGAUUGAAGAUUCCCAUGGAGGAGUGGAUGACCAGAGCAUAGUCCAGACCGCAGCCAUGAUGGAGGCCCACGGUGGAGUCAAUGGAUGGAGGAGCCAUGGUGGAAGAAGGGCUAUUGCCACCAGGGGCCCAACUGACGGAGACAGAGCCUAGGGCAGAGACAGAGAGACACAGAGCCAAGGCAACACUGAGGAUUCGGAGGGCCAUGGUGGAGCUUACGGCCCAGGUGACUGAGGCGCAGGUGAAGAUCUGGAAGACUGUGGUGGAGCCGGAGCGACAGAGAACCAAGGUGCAGCCCAGGGGAGAGAGGAGUCCAAUGGAGCCAGAGGAGUGAAGGGACGAGGCGAAGCUGGAGGAGUGUAGUCCUUAAAGGAGCCGUAUGUAGGAUUGUGGCCUAAACUGGUACUGCAAUCACUAUAAAAAUACUGUAGAGCGGUGUAUCCCCUCCCCCUACCCCCUGACUCGAGGUGGCCAGAUGAGCUGCAGGAUUCAGCAGAAACGUAGGCUGCUUCAAUGAGCUUCCAAUGGCAAAUUAACGAACAGAAGUACACACUCCUUUAAGUGUAGGCAGGUGGACGAAUGACCAAGGUGGAGCCGGAGGGAUGAGGGAGCCUGGCGGAGCUGGUGGGCUAACGGGCCACGGUGGAGACAAGGGAGCCAGGAGCCAAGAAGCCAAUGGGAAGAAUUGCUUUUGGACCCCACAUCUGACAACCAGAGACGCAUACACACGGAAAGAGCACUGCAUCUUUACAUUUGUUCAGUUAAAAUAAACAUAUUUUGCUCCUUACAACAUGUCUGUUUUCUUUGGUUAACCUGAAAGUAAAAGGCCCGGGGUCUGUGUCGGAGGUAGAGCGAUGACUGACCAAGGCUCGAGGGACGAGUGAGCCCAGUGGAACCUGAGGGGUGAUAAUGGUGACAAUGGUGGAACCGACGGAGCGUGGAGCCGACGCCUCAACAGACCUGGGUGGAGUCAUGGGCUCAGAGGCUUGACGUGGAGAAGGAGGAUCCGUGCACAAUGGCUGAGUUGAGGUCAGGUUUUUUUUUUUCUGUUGUUCUGUCUUUUCCAUAUUCGCUGUGUAUACUGGAUUUGUCCCGGCCUUCCAGUGGUUCUGAGGAGGGUUUGGACUGGCGAGCCUCCCUUGAGUUUGUUCUUGGAUCUUUCUGUUGAAGAAGUAUUCACACUGAUUGAACUGCGAAUGGUAGGAAAAAGACUAACUUUCCUCAUCUUUUUUUUUUUUUUUCCCGGAUGGAGACCUUUUUCAUUACCAACAGAAAAAGGACAAUUAUUAUUAUUUUUUUUCCUCUAAAAACUUUCCAAAGCACUCUUUCACAAGGACUGCACAUUCUGAUUGGAUUCCAUCUGAAAAAAAAAAAAAAACAUUUGUUGUGUAAUUGGGUUGUAUGUUUUUUAUUUGGGAUUUACCUUGUUGAAACCCAAAGAGAAAAAAAAAUGAGACCUAAAGUGUUGAGAUCUUACAUUCUGGUUGAAAAA